AGCGCGUUGUUUAUUAAUUUGUAGAAGAAAUUUAAAGUUGUAUUUGUGAUUCAAAUUCAGUUUUUGUCAAGUUUUCAAAUUUUGCGGUAAUAAAAAGCAGACAAAUAGAAACUGUCAGCAGCAAUCAAUGGAGAGUACUCAUAAUAAAGAAAAAAAUGUUUUUAAAACUCAUAAUUAUAAGAAACCAUCUGGUGCUCAAUACAGAAAACGUAAAGCAGAAAAAGUUGAUAAUUUGAAGAAAAAUUAUAAAAAACUUGAAAAUUUUUUUACAUCGGAAAAUAGUGAUUGUAAUAAAAUAAAGGAAGGAGAAAAUGUUGCGCAUGUACUUGUGAUACAUCAAACAGCGAUGACGAAGACGGAAUAGUGUCAGUCGGAAAUGUUCACUACGAUGAAAAAGAUAUCGAUAACGAAAAUGAUGAUGGCCAAAAUGGUGAUGUAAAUGAUCGCACCAAAGAAACAGCAAUCGAUUACUCACACUGUGGUUUGAGGCCAAUUCAUCGCAACAUUCAAUUUGUUGAUUAUGUAAUUAAUAUAGGUGCAAUACAAGUGAAUUUGGACACAUAUCCAUGCGAUAAUAGAAGACGACAUUUUUCAAAUGCUUUUCAAAUUUUGCGGACAAAAAAGCUAGAAAAGUUAUAUUUUAAAAUUUAAUAACUCUUGUUUAUAUAGUUAGAGGAUUUAUUAUAUGUUUAAUAAAAACAUUUGUUAUAUUUAAAGCAGCGUUGCGUUGUCUAUUUA
rnacentral:lncRNA from 1 species